rnacentral:rRNA from 1 species
CCUACGGGGGGCAGCAGUGGGGAAUAUUGGACAAUGGGGGCAACCCUGAUCCAGCCAUGCCGCGUGUGUGAAGAAGGCCCUCGGGUUGUAAAGCACUUUCAGUGAGGAAGAACGCCUGGUGGUUAAUACCCAUCAGGAAAGACAUCACUCACAGAAGAAGCACCGGCUAACUCCGUGCCAGCAGCCGCGGUAAUACGGAGGGUGCGAGCGUUAAUCGGAAUUACUGGGCGUAAAGCGCGCGUAGGUGGCUUGAUAAGCCGGUUGUGAAAGCCCCGGGCUCAACCUGGGAACGGCAUCCGGAACUGUUAAGCUAGAGUGCAGGAGAGGAAGGUAGAAUUCCCGGUGUAGCGGUGAAAUGCGUAGAGAUCGGGAGGAAUACCAGUGGCGAAGGCGGCCUUCUGGACUGACACUGACACUGAGGUGCGAAAGCGUGGGUAGCAAACAGGAUUAGAUACCCCGGUAGUC